UCAACGGAGAGUUUGAUCCUGGCUCAGGACGAACGCUGGCGGCGUGCUUUACACAUGCAAGUCGAACGGUGAACUCGGUGCUUGCACCGGGGGAUCAGUGGCGAACGGGUGAGUAACACGUGAGCAAUCUGCCCCUAACUCUGGGAUAACUGCGGGAAACCGCAGCUAAUACCGGAUACGACCCAGGAAGGCAUCUUCACUGGGUGGAAAGUUUUUCGGUUAGGGAUGAGCUCGCGGCCUAUCAGCUAGUUGGUGGGGUAAUGGCCUACCAAGGCGACGACGGGUAGCCGGCCUGAGAGGGCGACCGGCCACACUGGGACUGAGACACGGCCCAGACUCCUACGGGAGGCAGCAGUGGGGAAUAUUGC
rnacentral:rRNA from 1 species